ACGCUCGACACCUACGGAGGCAGCAGUGGGGAAUAUUGCACAAUGGGGGAAACCCUGAUGCAGCGACGCCGCGUGGAGGAAGAAGGUCUUCGGAUUGUAAACUCCUGUUGUUGGGGAAAAAGAGGAUGGUACCCAACAAGGAAGUGACGGCUAACUACGUGCCAGCAGCCGCGGUAAUCUGAGGCGGGCGUGGCGAAGGCG
rnacentral:rRNA from 1 species